CGUAGGUGGCAAGCGUUGUCCGGAUUUACUGGGCGUAAAGAGCGCGCAGGCGGCUGGUCAAGUCCGAUGUGAAAUCUCCCGGCUCAACUGGGAAACUGCAUCGGAAACUGAUCGGCUUGAAGGUGGGAGAGGGUAGUGGAAUUCCCGGUGUAGUGGUGAAAUGCGUAGAUAUCGGGAGGAACACCAGUGGCGAAGGCGACUACCUGGCCCAUUCUUGACGCUGAGGCGCGAAAGCUAGGGGAGCGAAACGGGAUUAGAUACCCCCGGUAGUCCUAGCCGUAAACGAUGAACACUAGGCGUAGUCGGUAUCGACCCCGGCUGUGCCGUAGCCAACGCAUUAAGUGUUCCGCCUGGGGAGUACGGCCGCAAGGCUA
rnacentral:rRNA from 1 species